AAUCCAUAGGUUAAUGAGGCGAACCGGGGGAACUGAAACAUCUAAGUACCCCGAGGAAAAGAAAUCAACCGAGAUUCCCCCAGUAGCGGCGAGCGAACGGGGAGGAGCCCAGAGCCUGAAUCAGCAUGUGUGUUAGUGGAAGCGUCUGGAAAGGCGCGCGAUACAGGGUGACAGCCCCGUACACAAAAGCGCAUGUGCUGUGAGCUCGAUGAGUAGGGCGGGACACGUGGUAUCCUGUCUGAAUAUGGGGGGACCAUCCUCCAAGGCUAAAUACUCCUGACUGACCGAUAGUGAACCAGUACCGUGAGGGAAAGGCGAAAAGAACCCCGGCGAGGGGAGUGAAAAAGAACCUGAAACCGUGUACGUACAAGCAGUGGGAGCCCCACCACCAAAGCAUUCUCUGGUGUUGAAGGCCCUGCAAAGCAGCAUCGCGGUGGCGGAGCGUCGUUUGCGACGCCCAACACACAAAACAAGCGGUGAGUGCUUUGGGGUGGGGUGACUGCGUACCUUUUGUAUAAUGGGUCAGCGACUUAUAUUCUGUAGCAAGGUUAACCGUAUAGGGGAGCCGUAGGGAAACCGAGUCUUAAC
rnacentral:rRNA from 1 species